UACAGAGGUCUCAAGCGUUGUUCGGAUUCAUUGGGCGUAAAGGGCGCGUAGGCGGGCUAUCAAGUCCGGGGUGAAAUCCUCCAGCUCAACUGGAGAACGGCCUCGGAUACUGAUGGUCUCGAGGAGGAUAGGGGCACACGGAACUGUGGGUGGAGCGGUGAAAUGCGUUGAUAUCCAUAGGAACUCCGGUGGCGAAAGCGGUGUGCUGGAUCCUUUCUGACGCUGAUGCGCGAAAGCCAGGGGAGCAAACGGG
rnacentral:rRNA from 1 species